rnacentral:lncRNA from 1 species
CCCCGCCUCGUUCCCGCCGGCAGCCACCGCCCCAACGCGCCCCUUAGUGUGAGCCUUCCUGUCGCGUCGCGCCGCCAUGCGAUGCCGCCUCGAGCUGCGUCGCCCGGAACGGAUCCUUCCCGCCCGGAUCCGCCCAUGGCCGCGGGACCUAGUCUUCCUCGCCUGCCGGCUCUGCCCCUUCGUCGGCGUUCGGCCCAGUCGCUGCCGUCGCUCCUGCGUGUCUCGGGAGGGAGACGAGGGAACCGCCCGCGUUGACCGCGCCGUCCCCGCACCGGACAGGUGGGCCCUGCUCCAGCCGCGACCCCGAACGGGCCUCCUUCGGCCCAGUUCGGCCCCCCUGCCGCGCACCUCCCAUGUCGGCCCAGCUCGCCCCUGAGCCAGGCCACCUUCGGCCAACUCGGCCUCCAGCCGGGCCAAGGCCCCAAGGUGAGCCCCGCUGCGCCCCUUUAUUUUGUUCGCAUGUGUGUAGUAUUAGUAUGUGGCGCCAAUGCUUAGUUUCGGCCCGAUAGCCAGAUCUGGCCCGCGUAGGAUUUUAUUAAUUUUGGCUAUUUAAUUCUUUUUCAGAAAAGGGCAUAUUUUCAAACGUGUGUAGUUUUAAAUCCGUGUGUCGGAUCGGAGAGUAUUAUAUAUGUAAAACGUGUAGUUUCUCGCGUAGAACCCGAUUAUAAGACUUGCAUAAUUAUUUGACGUAGUUUUACGUGCCAAACGCCUAGUUUAGCGUGUUGUCCCAAUAGAGGAACGUCCCGUAUUUAUUUUUCUUGCGGUCCGGAUUGCUCGAGUGCCAUAGGUAAAAUGCCCAUGUUUUAGGGACCAUUUUCCCAUGCAUUUUAGAGCGGUCAUUUGUAUUUUUGCGUGUAGGNNNNNNNNNNNNNNNNNNNNNNNNGUAGGGAAUUGCCUCUAGUUUAUUUUCCCGUAUAUAGGUUAUUUUCCCGCAUUUGUGUGUGGCUUUAUUUGGUGUUGAACCCCACAUAUUUUAUAUGAUUUCGGGGUGAUUUUUCUAUGAAAUUAGUUUUAGCAUUAGAGCAAGUUAGUUCGCGCGAUAUUUUGCCGUGAUGCCCUUUUGUUUAAUUCGAAGGAUUUAUUUCGUGCUUCGUUUGAAGGAGUUGUCAACUAGGAAGUUGUUCUUGAGUGUUUAGACUAGCCCCUGGUAUUUUUAGUUGCAAUAGAAAUGCAUGUUUAGGUGUGUUUUGAUUGCCCUCAAGUUGCUAGAAAUAGUGAUGUUUUGGACGUGCUGAAAUAUUUCUAAGUCUGGGAUCUGUUAUUGUUUUGUUGCUGUCUUAUCUUGCUUGCAUCUUGUGAUCUGUAGCUCUUUUGAGGUUGGUCCAAUGGAGUUAGUUGUAUCCCUUAUGUUUCUCUAGCAUGCUGUAAAUUUUCAUGCCAUUUGGAGUCCUGUAGCUAUAGAUUUUGCUGCUGUCAAUAUUGCUUUAGAUCCAAAACUGCACUUUAAUGAGGUGUUAUUUUCACUAAGUCUGAAAUAGUGUGUGGGAUGCCAUUUUGUAUCUUCUUUUCCUAGUGCUCCUUGCUGCCAUGCUAGUUGUUGUUAGUUGGUUGUAUUAGUGCUUCUUUCCCUCUUUCAUGUCAUGCCUUGCUUGAGUUUAUCGGAGUUGUGUAGCUUGUAGUUGAGGGGUGUAGAAUAUGCUAUGUGGUUGAUUUUGGCAGAUUGUAAUCAUUUCUUAUUUUGCUCGUAGUUGUUGAACCGUAGCUCCGAUUUGAUCGUGUCCUACAUGAAACUUGCUUAGAAUCUCGUGUAGUUUCAUUUUAUCUUGCGGGAUGUAUGUUUUGAAGUGCUCGUGACCGCCGUUGCACACAUAUUGCAUUCAUGCCAUCAUAUCUUGCGGUGCUUGUAUCUUUUGAACCGUAGCUCCGUUGGAGAUGUUCUUUAUGUGUAGAUUGCUUCAAAUAACGCGUAGAAUCACGUGAACCUAUUUGUUUGCUGUUUAACAACGUGAAUCACGUGAAUCACGUGAUACACGGCGCGCCGGCGAAUCGUUCGGCCGGUCAGCGAGGCGGGCAGUGAAUCCCAACCCAAACACUAGAAUGAAUAUGAGCAACACCAUAAUUCUUUGGAAAACGCUUUCAUCCGGCGCGCCGGCGAAUCGUUCGGCCGGUCGCGCGCCUCGCUGGUAGAUGCUUGCAGCAUUUUUUCGUCAAAUUUGCUGCAACCGUGUAUUUUUUUGAUACAAACGUUUUUCAUGUAACUUUUUUUCUCGUGUAAAUUUGUUACAUUUGUCCAGUAAAAAGCUGCAUAUACGUUUGGUUGCAACUUCAGUUCGUCGAAUUUUUCGUUACAAUCGAUGUUUUUACUUUUGCUACAACCGUGUUAAUUUUUGCUAUAAUCGGCAUCAUUUUUUGCUGCAACCCUUCACUAAAAAAGUUGCAUACGCGUUCACGUAGAUAUUUGUUACAACCGGCGUUUGACUUUUGCUACCACGCACCAUCAGAUUCGUUUUUUUGCUACGAUCACGUAGAUUUUUUUUUUGCUACAAAAUUUGUUUUUUGUUGCAACCGUUGAAAAAAUUGCUGCAUCGCGACGAAUUUUGCUGCAUCAGGAGAAAAAAUGUUGCAUGAAGAUCCAAUGGUGCGGACGCGCGGGGUUGGUGGAUCGGGCGGCCCGUCCACGGCCGGCUGAAAGUUUCGGCCGACGCGCCGGCGCAAAUCACUCCCCUAAUUUUUUAACAUAUAUGAGAGUCCCUAAGCACAAACCAAAAACAGGUAAUUAAGAAAAUGUGGACCNNNNNNNNNNNNNNNNNNNNNNNNNNGCUCUUCCUGAUUACGAUUCCUCUAGUGGGUUGAAACAAUUUCGCGAACACUUCAUUAACAUGGGCUAAGAAGGACAACGUUUCAACACAGAUCAUAACGAUAUUGAUUCGCCUUUAAGCAAAGCCUAAAUUAGUCAUUACUAGUAAAAGUGCCCAUGCGUUGCAUCGAGUUAGACUGUCGAUUUUUGAAUCAUGAAUUUUCUAUUUGAAAAGCACCACCCCCCCCCCUCCCUUAUGUCCUCCUCAACAUCUACUUGAACUUCGCACCGCCAUUGGAGUAUAAUGGAUAUUUAAAUAUAUGACAAACUAUUAUAACAACUAAUACCUGUUUCUUUAGGAUUGAAUAAGACCACCUGGAGCAAAAUUCGCAAGACAUUUUUCAAGAGAUGAACUACGGUAGGAGAGCUAGAAUGGGAGUGCUAAAUAGGCAAUACAAACACAAACACAUUGAAGAAAAACUAUCUGAAGCUCAAGUUCAGAAAAUGGAAUUGCAGUAUUGCAAACAACAAAACACAAUCACUAUUUUGUUUUAAAUUGUAGAAAAAAUGCAUGUUUAUGUUCAAAGAUCUCCUGCCAAGAGCACAGAGAUCCAUCCAACAUAAAAACAACAUCUUAUGUGUAGAUUUAAUUGGAAACCUGAUGAUCUCUACUUUUCUGAAAACAGAACGGGAGCAUCGGUGUUUUCUGUACUUGUUCGCUGCCAAAUUAUUCAGUAUAUUGUCAAUUGAUAAUAGGCUAAACAACUGAGCAUAGAGUCUAAGCAAUUACACAUGUAAGUCCAUGAAUCCGAAAGAAUAGUUCAUUCAGAUGCCCUUCCCAAUAUCACUGAAUAACUAACAAGAAAAAAUAAGCUCCUAUAUUCAGCAAUAUAAAGCUGGCAUAGUCAGAGCCAGGGGACAGAAACAAUAUCUAAAACAGCCGAUUACAUUGAGUGAAUAUCAAGGGGAUACAUACAUCUUGUGUGUGCGACGCAGGCGAUAUUGGAUGGCUGGAGGGAUGUUAUUGUUCCUCCGGCGAACUCAACGUUUCUUCCUCCGUCGAACUCGCGGUCGUUCUGAUGAAUAGCUUGCCGAUAUGCCCCGCAUCCAAGUCGCUGAGCCAAACACUGAAGAUCCUGAGGCACUUGUCCUUGUGCAGGCCCGGAACCAUAUCGUACACCUUGGUGAGAUUCAUCUCCCUCUCCAGAUGCCACCCAUUAACAACGGAUGCGUGGAUGAGUCCUCAAUACCUUGAUCACCUAUUAAAUAUUCAAGAUGUGAGCCUGAUCCUCCAAAAAGGUCGGUAGUCCAAUCACAACCAGAACAGCAUACAGAAAAGAAAAUAAAGCAAUGUAUAUGUAGAAUGGAACCAAUCAGCAUGGGGUGCUUGAAUCAACUAACAUGAUGUUAUUCAGUAGUGCAAAUUAUAUUCAUAAAUGAUAAGGUUCAUGCUUGCUAGUUGGGUCAUAUUGCAGGAUGAAACAGCUUCACGGCAUGGUAAUUUACAUAUUAAAUUCAAAUCUAUACCUGAUGUUUAGUAGUAUUAUUAUCGUAACAAACCCCGAAUAUCUACUGUACCUCGCAAUGCAACCGCAUUACUCUAGUAAUCACCAGGUCUAUUGAAAACAAAAUUUCUGUAAAGCAUGCUUCAUUUAUAUGGACAUUCACGAUAUGCAUUUAACAACAUAUCACAGGCAAGAACGAUAUAGCAUAAAUCCAUCAAUGUGUUACCACUACAAGACAUACAUAACUAAACCUCAAGCAACCAAAGGGCUAGCCUUGCUCCAAGGUAUCAGGUAUUAAGACUUGAGUAAGCAUUUCCAAACAUAAAAGUAACUACUAUUUAUGAUAAGAAAACUAAAGACUGGAAUUUACUUAUAGUAGGGUGGAGCCCAGCAUGCGAAGGGUCUACAAUAGCAACAAAGUUCUUGAACUGACAUCCAAUAGCUGCAAGCACAUCAUUAUUAGAUGUUUUGAUGUGCUCCGCACCGUCAGCUGCUUUUGCAUCAACGGACUCAUCAUUGACCAAUGAUGAUGCUUCCUCGCUGUUUUGAUUACGAACAGCCUCAUUGCAUUGCUCAUGUCCACCUUCCAACUCUUUGCUAGAACAAGUGGGAUGAUUAGCUGAUUUGUCUCCCACUGCUGACUUUCACCAUUGUCAUUUUCCUCUGUUAAGCUGUCCAUACUGUUAUCAUUAUUCUCUGCACCAUCAACUAUAUCCUCUCUUUUUUCCUGCAGCAUUAACUUCUGAAUUACUUUCAGAAGCUGCAAUGUGCUGCUGUGGUGAACCAAGAUACUCUGUGAGAAGAGACCCCAUCACAUCUUUAGCCUGUUUAUUCGCAGGAUGAGGAUUUAGAUGAUAUUAUUGUGGUGAGUACAAAGAAUUGGGGAGUCAAAUGUAAAGAUGAUAUCACCUCCCCUUCGUUUGGCUCCUCCUCCCCGAACGGCAGCCGCUGCAAGAGGGGGAUAUGAGGCGGGGAACGGUGGUACAGGGUCCUGCGACCACCGGCAUCUAGAGGAGGAGGAGAUCCGACGGCGGGCUGCUCCGAAUCGGCGGCCACCGCCGAAGCCGCUGCAAGAGGGGGAUAUGAGGCGGGGAACGGUGGUGCAGGGUGCUGCGACCACCGGCGUCUAGAGGAGGAGGAGAUCCGGCGGCGGGCUGCUCCGAAUCGGCGGCCACCGCCGAAGCCGCUGCAAGAGGGGGAUAUGAGGCGGGGAACGGUGGUGCAGGGUGCUGCGACCACCGGCGUCUGCCGGCGGCCGGCGCCGCACCGGAUCAAGCCGCGCACGCACCGCCGGCUCCUGACGGCUGGGAUCGGGAGGCCAGGGAGACACCGUCGGCCUAGAUCGGGAGGCGAGGGAAAGNNNN